rnacentral:rRNA from 1 species
CCUACGGGAGGCAGCAGUGGGGAAUAUUGGACAAUGGGGGGAACCCUGAUCCAGCCAUGCCGCGUGUGUGAAGAAGGCCCUCGGGUUGUAAAGCACUUUCAGUGAGGAAGAACGCCUGGUGGUUAAUACCCAUCAGGAAAGACAUCACUCACAGAAGAAGCACCGGCUACACUCCGUGCCAGCAGCCGCGGUAAUACGGAGGGUGCGAGCGUUAAUCGGAAUUACUGGGCGUAAAGCGCGCGUAGGUGGCUUGAUAAGCCGGUUGUGAAAGCCCCGGGCUCAACCUGGGAACGGCAUCCGGAACUGUCAAGCUAGAGUGAAGGAGAGGAAGGUAGAAUUCCCGGUGUAGCGGUGAAAUGCGUAGAGAUCGGGAGGAAUACCAGUGGCGAAGGCGGCCUUCUGGACUGACACUGACACUGAGGUGCGAAAGCGUGGGUAGCAAACAGGAUUAGAUACCCGUGUAGUC